rnacentral:rRNA from 1 species
AGCAGCCGCGGUAAUUCCAGCUCCAAUAGCGUAUAUUAAAGUUGUUGCAGUUAAAAAGCCCGUAGUUGAAUUUCGGGGUUAGCAGGUCGGUCGUGCCAUCGGUAUGAACUGGUCUCGCUGAUCCCUCCCUCUUGACGAACUGUGAUGCCAUUAAUUUGGUGUCGCAGGGAAUCAGGACUGUUACUUUGAAAAAAUUAGAGUGUUUAAAGCAGGCUCACGCUUGAAUACAUUAGCAUGGAAUAAUGAAAUAGGACGUUUGAUCCUAUUUUGUUGGUUUCUAGGAUUGACGUAAUGAUUAAUAGGGAUAGUUGGGGGCAUUAGUAUUCAAUUGUCAGAGGUGAAAUUCUUGGAUUUAUUGAAGACUAACUACUGCGAAAGCAUUUGCCAAGGAUGUUUUCAUUAAUCAAGAACGAAAGUUAGGGGAUCGAAGACGAUCAGAUACCGUCGUAGUCUUAACCAUAAACUAUGCCGACUAGGGAUCGGAUUGAUGUUUAAUUUUUUAAUGUACUCUAGUUCGGCC